GAUGAACGCUGGCGGCGUGCCUAAUACAUGCAAGUCGAGCGAACAGACGAGGAGCUUGCUCCUCUGACGUUAGCGGCGGACGGGUGAGUAACACGUGGAUAACCUACCUAUAAGACUGGGAUAACUUCGGGAAACCGGAGCUAAUACCGGAUAAUAUAUUGAACCGCAUGGUUCAAUAGUGAAAGACGGUUUUGCUGUCACUUAUAGAUGGAUCCGCGCCGCAUUAGCUAGUUGGUAAGGUAACGGCUUACCAAGGCAACGAUGCGUAGCCGACCUGAGAGGGUGAUCGGCCCGACUGGGACGGAGACACGGUCCAGACUCCUACGGGAGGCAGCAGUAGGGAAUCUUCCGCAGUGGGCGAAAGCCUGACGGAGCAACGCCGCGUGAGUGAUGAAGGUCUUCGGAUCGUAAAACUCUGUUAUUAGGGAAGAACAAAUGUGUAAGUAACUAUGCACGUCUUGACGGUACCUAAUCAGAAAGCCACGGCUAACUACGUG
rnacentral:rRNA from 1 species